AUUUUAUUGCAAUGGAAAUGUUGCCCAUUAGGAGCAGAACAGUAUGCAGACCUUUUUCCUCUGUAACCCAUAUGAAAUAUAGGGCUACUUAUUAAACCCAUGUUGUCUAGAUGUGCAGUUAUCCAUUUCCCCCAGUAGAGGUCGCUUGCUGCUGUGUAGCAGCAUCCAGCAGCAGUAAAGUGCCAUGUGAAGCCCGCGCUUCUUGUUCUAUUGUCCUGCAGACAUGAGGUUCACAGACACGACCUGAAAAUGCUUUUCCUGAACACAAUGAGUGAGCCUGAGUAAGAUAACUCCCGUCGAGUUGUUAUUGUGUUUAUGAAUCUCAGCAUAGAUGAACUUGAUGGCGAGCCCAGUGAUUCAGAGGACGGUCACUUACGCAGUGUGGCCAGCUGCAGUACCUGCUCAGAGGACGUCAGAUUGCUUGACUCAUUGGGUUGACUCCAGAUAAGACACAUACACUCUAUUAACUUACCCGGGUAAUAAACAUUGACACUGAACACACAUAUCUGGAUUUUCCCCCUGAAACUGAACUCUUUUGAGCUUUGAACUCUUCUCUUCUCACAGCUCCUCUCUAUAGAGGAGCAUUUGAGCUGGAAGUCCAAC